GAAUUUUGGACAAUGGGCGAAAGCCUGAUCCAGCAAUGCCGCGUGCAGGAUGAAGGCCUUCGGGUUGUAAACUGCUUUUGUACGGAACGAAAAGCUUUGGGUUAACACCCUGGAGUAAUCACGGUACCGUAAGAACAAGCACCGGAUAACUACGGGCAAGCCGACGCGGUAAUCCGUAGGGUUCAAGCGUUAAUCGGAAUUACUGGGGGUAAAUCGUGUGCAGGCGGUUUUGUAAGAAAUAGGUGAAAUCCCCGGGCUCAACCUGGGAACUGCCUUUGUGACUCCAACGCUCUAUUACGUCAGAGGGUGGUGAAAUUCCGCGUGUAGCAGUGAAAUGCGUAGAUAUGCGGAGGAACACCGAUGGCGAAGGCAACCCCCUGGGCCUGUACUGACGCUCAUGCACGAAAGCGUGGGGAGCAAACA
rnacentral:rRNA from 1 species